CCAACCAGAAAGCCACGGCUAAUUACGUGCCAGCAGCCGCGGUAAUACGUAGGUGGCAAGCGUUGUCCGGAUUUAUUGGGCGUAAAGCGAGCGCAUGCGGUUUUUUAGGUCUGAUGUGAAAGCCUUCGGCUUAACCGGAGAAGUGCAUCGGAAACCGGGAGACUUGAGUGCGGAAGAGGACAGUGGAACUCCAUGUGUAGCGGUGAAAUGCGUAGAUAUAUGGAAGAACACCAGUGGCGAAGGCGGCUGUCUGGUCUGCAACUGACGCUGAGGCUCGAAAGCAUGGGUAGCGAGCAGGAUUAGAUACCCUGGUAGUCCAUGCCGUAAACGAUGAGUGCUAAGUGUUGGAGGGUUUCCGCCCUUCAGUGCUGCAGCUAACGCAUUAAGCACUCCGCCUGGGGAGUACGACCGCAAGGUUGAAACUCAAAGGAAUUGACGGGGGCCCGCACAAGCGGUGGAGCAUGUGGUUUAAUUCGAUGCUACGCGAAGAACCUUACCAGGUCUUGACAUCUUCUGCUAACCUAAGGGAUUAGGCGUUCCCUUCGGGGACGGAAUGACAGGUGGUGCAUGGUUGUCGUCAGCUCGUGUCGUGAGAUGUUGGGUUAAGUCCCGCAACGAGCGCAACCCUUAUUGUCAGUUGCCAGCAUUUAGUUGGGCACUCUGGCGAGACUGCCGGUGACAAACCGGAGGAAGGUGGGGAUGACGUCAAAUCAUCAUGCCCCUUAUGACCUGGGCUACACACGUGCUACAAUGGACGGUACAACGAGUCGCGAAACCGCGAGGUCAAGCUAAUCUCUGAAAGCCGUUCUCAGUUCGGAUUGCAGGCUGCAACUCGCCUGCAUGAAGUUGGAAUCGCUAGUAAUCGUGGAUCAGCAUGCCACGGUGAAUACGUUCCCGGGCCUUGUACACACCGCCCGUCACACCAUGAGAGUUUGUAACACCCUAAGCCGGUGAGGUAACCUUCGGGAACCAGCCGUCUAAGGUGGGACAGAUGAUUAGGGUGAAGUCGUAACAAGGUAGCCGUAGGAGAACCUGCGGCUGGAUCACCUCCUUUCUAA
rnacentral:rRNA from 1 species